rfam:Drosophila simulans chrT_M_3047 genomic scaffold, whole genome shotgun sequence.
CAACCUCAACUCAUAUGGGACUACCCCCUGAAUUUAAGCAUAUUAAUUAGGGGAGGAAAAGAAACUAACAAGGAUUUUCUUAGUAGCGGCGAGCGAAAAGAAAACAGUUCAGCACUAAGUCACUUUGUCUAUAUGGCAAAUGUGAGAUGCAGUGUAUGGAGCGUCAAUAUUCUAGUAUGAGAAAUUAAUGAUUUAAGUCCUUCUUAAAUGAGGCCAUUUACCCAUAGAGGGUGCCAGGCCCGUAUAACGUUAAUGAUUACUAGAUGAUGUUUCCAAAGAGUCGUGUUGCUUGAUAGUGCAGCACUGAAUCCACCACAGUGGCG